rnacentral:rRNA from 1 species
AGAGUUUGAUCCUGGCUCAGGACGAACGCUGGCGGCGUGCCUAACACAUGCAAGUCGAGCGGAGACAGUGAGUAGCUUGCUAUGAGCUGUUUUAGCGGCGGACGGGUGAGUAACGCGUGAGCAACCUUUCCCAGACAGGGGAAUAACACACCGAAAGGUGUACUAAUACCGCAUAAGACCACGGGAUCACAUGGUUCUGGGGUAAAAGAUUUAUCGGUUUGGGGUGGGCUCGCGUCCGAUUAGGUAGUUGGUGAGGUAACGGCCCACCAAGCCGACGAUCGGUAGCCGACCUGAGAGGGUGAUCGGCCACAUUGGGACUGAGACACGGCCCAAACUCCUACGGGAGGCAGCAGUGGGGAAUAUUGGGCAAUGGAGGAAACUCUGACCCAGCAACGCCGCGUGGAGGAAGAAGGUUUUCGGAUCGUAAACUCCUGUCCUUGGAGACGAGUAGAAGACGGUAUCCAAGGAGGAAGCCCCGGCUAACUACGUGCCAGCAGCCGCGGUAAUACGUAGGGGGCAAGCGUUGUCCGGAAUAAUUGGGCGUAAAGGGCGCGUAGGCGGCUCGGUAAGUCUGGAGUGAAAGUCCUGCUUUUAAGGUGGGAAUUGCUUUGGAUACUGUCGGGCUUGAGUGCAGGAGAGGUUAGUGGAAUUCCCAGCGUAGCGGUGAAAUGCGUAGAGAUUGGGAGGAACACCAGUGGCGAAGGCGACUAACUGGACUGUAACUGACGCUGAGGCGCGAAAGUGUGGGGAGCAAACAGGAUUAGAUACCCUGGUAGUCCACACUGUAAACGAUGAAUGCUAGGUGUAGGGGGUAUCGACCCCUUCUGUGCCGCAGUCAACACAAUAAGCAUUCCGCCUGGGGAGUACGGCCGCAAGGUUGAAACUCAAAGGAAUUGACGGGGGCCCGCACAAGCAGCGGAGCAUGUGGUUUAAUUCGAUGAUACGCGAGGAACCUUACCCGGGCUUGAAUUGCAGAGGAAGGAUUUGGAGACAAUGACGCCCUUCGGGGCCUCUGUGAAGGUGCUGCAUGGUUGUCGUCAGCUCGUGCCGUGAGGUGUCGGCUUAAGUGCCAUAACGAGCGCAACCCCUCUCCAUAGUUGCCAUCAGGUGAAGCUGGGCACUCUGUGGACACUGCCACCGUAAGGUGCGAGGAAGGUGGGGAUGACGUCAAAUCAGCACGGCCCUUACGUCCGGGGCUACACACGUGUUACAAUGGCAGGUACAGAGAGCCGGUCGUAUGCAAAUACGAUCCAAUCCUUAAAGCCUGUCUCAGUUCGGACUGGGGUCUGCAACCCGACCCCACGAAGCUGGAUUCGCUAGUAAUCGCGCAUCAGCCAUGGCGCGGUGAAUACGUUCCCGGGCCUUGUACACACCGCCCGUCAAGCCAUGAAAGCCGGGGGCGCCUGAAGUCCGUGACCGCAAGGAGCGGCCUAGGGCGAAACUGGUAAUUGGGGCUAAGUCGUAACAAGGUA